rnacentral:lncRNA from 1 species
CCUGUAUCCUCAUUGUAUCUAGGACAUAAUUAAUUUGCUUUUGAUUUAACAGGCUCAUAGGGGAAAAGGACUUGCCUUGUCUCAGAUGAGACUUUGGGCUUGGACUUUUGAGUUAAUGCUGGAAUGAGUUACGCCUCUGGGGUACUGUUACGAAGGCAUGAUUGGUGUUGGAAAGGCAUAAUUGUGUUUUGAAAUGUGAGGACAUGAGAUUUGGAAGGGCCCAGGGGUGGUUUACCUCAUGCUGUUCUCAUGAUAAUGAGUGAGUCUCACAAGAUCUGAGGGAUUUAUAAAUGUAUGGCAUUUCCCCUGCUCGCACUCAUUCUCUCUCCUAACACCCUGUGAAGAGGUGCUUUCACCAUGAUUCAACUAUAGGAACUCAGCCUGGAUGCGGACAGCACCUAGGACAAACUGUGCCUAAUGGCACUCGGCUGACAGGGCCAGCAGGCUGGGCAUCUGCAUGGAAGAAAUGAGGACCCACGAACCUGCUGCACUCCCCAGUUCUGGGGCUUCUCCAGAAGGAACAGGCCAGGCACAGGCUGAAUCCUUUCAGAGGGGUAAUACCCUCACACUUCCACCUGCAGAGAAUCACACAGGCUGCAAAGGCGCUAGUCACCCAGGAUAGAGCUCCUCAAACAGAAGGUAACAGAGGCAUCCAUGCAUUCGUUGCAGAUGAAUCUGUACAAUUACCUUUUUUUUUUUUUUUUUUUUUUUUUUUUUUAACAGAGUCUUGCUUUGUCACCCAGGCUGGAGUGCAGCAGAGUGAUGAUCUCAGCUCACUGCAAUCUCUGCCUCCCGGUUCAAGAGAUUCUUCUGCCUCAGCUUCCCGGUAGCUGGGACUACAGGCACGCACCAUACCUGGCUAAUUUUUGUAUUUUUAGUAGAGACGGGGUUUUACCCUGUUGGUCAGGCUCAUCUCAAACUCCUGACCUUAAGUGAUCCACCCCACCUUGGCCUCCCAAAGUGCUGGGAUUACAGGCAUGAGCCACCCCUACGAGUCCACAAUGACUAUUUAAAAAGGCAAUUGCAUAACAGUCAGACAUGGCUCCCAGGCUCAUAUGACAAAAGAUAAGGCUCCACCGUGGAUUCUCCUAUAGAUCACAGAAGGGCUAAGAUGCAACAUCGGAACUGACAGUGCCAUGGUGUUUGCACCCACCUCCUGAUGAAAGUCAGGGGCCUGCCUUCCACAGAGAGGAACGCUGGAAUUUUGUGCUGCAGUUAUGAUAGCUGUACCUGAGAGGUGAGGAGAAGUGGCAAGCCUCAGGCAAGUCAUGACCUGGAGUAACCAGAAGAUGGGUUCGCCCCACAAGUUUCCCUGUGCUCAGAAGUGAAAGACACUCUGAAUGUGAUUCCUCAUUUGAUCGUCAGUGCAGUCCUAAAAAAUGAGCCCAUGACCAUGGAGGAAACAGAGAUUUUGAGAGACUAAAGGAGUUACAUCACAUCACUCAGCUAAGAGCCAAAAGAAGGAAGGAUUCAAAUCAGGAUGUGUCUCACACAGAGUUUAAAUUCUUUUUUUUCCUUUGUUUUAUUUUUUUUGAGAUACAGUCUCACUCAUUCACCCAGGCUGGAGUGCAGUGGCACUAUCUCUGCUCACUGCAACCUAUGCCUCCUGGGUUCAAGCAAUUCUCCUACCUCAGCCUCCUGAGUAGCUGGGAUUACAGGCAUGCCAGCAUGCCCGGCUAAUUUUUGUAUUUUUAGUAGAGACAGGGUUUCACCAUGUUGGUCAGGCUGGUCUCAAACUCCUGACCUCGUGAUCUGCCUGCCUCAGCCUCCCAAAGUGCUGGGAUUACAGGCGUGAGCCACUGCACCCGGCCCAGAGUUUAAUUUCUGCCACCACCUUGUAUCUUCCCCUGGAAAAACUUGGUAAAGGUCAUGUCUCCCUGGGGUCUUUACCCAGUGGUCCAGAAGUGGAUUUUCUCUGCCUGUAGAACCUCAAUCAUUUCACUCAUGUUCAACACACAAGACAGUGAAAUUACCAGGAAAAAAGAAAGAACAUCAAUGUCCACAGAGGGACAAAACCUACUACAUUAAAGCACUCAGUUAAUCAGUCCCAGGCUAAAGAACCGCAGAAAGCCAUGUCUUGCCAGUUAGGGGCCAGGCCUUUAAUUCGGGGGCUAUGAGCUACUUGACUACUCGUCCUGGGUUAUUAAUCAAGAAGAAAACACAAGGUAUCUCACCAUACCUGUGUGUUAGAGCUAUCAUAGAUUAUUGUGAUUAAAUCCCUUAUAAUCACUUAAGACCUAAC